GAGUUUGAUCCUGGCUCAGGAUGAACGCUGGCGGCGUGCCUAAUACAUGCAAGUCGAACGAAGAUCUAGCUUGCUAGAUCUUAGUGGCGAACGGGUGAGUAAUACAUAAAAAUCUGCCCAUUGGACUGGGAUAACUAUUGGAAACGAUAGCUAAUACCGGAUAGGUGAUUUGAAGGCAUCUUCGAAUCAUUAAAGUAGGGUCACUACACCAAUGGAUGAGUUUAUGGCGCAUUAGUUAGUUGGCGGGUAACGGCCCACCAAGACGAUGAUGCGUAGCCGACCUGAGAGGGUGACCGGCCACACUGGGACUGAGACACGGCCCAGACUCCUACGGGAGGCAGCAGUAGGGAAUUUUCGGCAAUGGGCGCAAGCCUGACCGAGCAACGCCGCGUGAGUGAUUAAGGCCUUCGGGUUGUAAAGCUCUGUUGUAAGGGAAGAACAUUCAGGAUAGGAAAUGAUCUUGAACUGACGGUACCUUACCAGAAAGCCACGGCUAACUACGUGCCAGCAGCCGCGGUAAUACGUAGGUGGCAAGCGUUAUCCGGAAUUAUUGGGCGUAAAGGGUGCGUAGGCGGUUUAUUAAGUCUAUGGUGAAAGUGCGGGGCUCAACCCCGUAUGGCCAUAGAAACUGAUAGACUUGAGUGCAGGAGAGGGCAAUGGAAUUCCAUGUGUAGCGGUAAAAUGCGUAGAUAUAUGGAGGAACACCAGUGGCGAAGGCGGUUGCCUGGCCUGUAACUGACGCUGAGGCACGAAAGCGUGGGGAGCAAAUAGGAUUAGAUACCCUA
rnacentral:rRNA from 1 species